rnacentral:rRNA from 1 species
AAUGAACGCUGGCGGCGUGCCUAAUACAUGCAAGUCGAACGGGGAAAGCUUUCGGGUGAGUACUAGUGGCGCACGGGUGAGUAACGCGUGGAUAAUCUGCCUUAGAGUGGGGGAUAACUAGUCGAAAGAUUAGCUAAUACCGCAUAAGACCACAAGAACUGCGGUUCAAGGGGUCAAAGGUUUUUCGCUCUAAGAUGAGUCCGCGUAAGAUUAGCUAGUUGGUAGGGUAACGGCCUACCAAGCCGACGAUCUUUAACUGGUCUGAGCGGAUGAUCAGUCACACUGGAACUGAGACACGGUCCAGACUCCUACGGGAGGCAGCAGUAGGGAAUAUUGCACAAUGGAGGAAACUCUGAUGCAGCGACGCCGCGUGAGUGAUGAAGGCCUUCGGGUCGUAAAGCUCUGUCGCAGGGGAAUAACACAAUGAAGGUACCCUGUAAGAAAGGAUCGGCUAACUUCGUGCCAGCAGCCGCGGUAACAC